GUUCUUUCCUGGACAGAGAUAAUAAUCAAAAAGGUGGCAUUCCUAGGGUAAGACUUUCAUUGCACUCCAAAUGUGCUGACCACUGCAGUUUCCCUAGAGGCGUGAAACUCAGCUGCAUAGAUUUUGGGAGAGGGAGACUGUGUUCUCUCUUUCCUG
ensembl:snRNA U1 U1 spliceosomal RNA